UUAUUAAUGUUUUGUGACAUUUGGGGGUCGAAAAAGAGGAAGAAUUACUAACAACCAGAAAAAAAAUCUACAUUUGUUAGGCAUCUAUCUCCUCAACCAUCAUAAAUUACCAUUGACAGUAAUCAGAAAACUUAGUCCGGAUUCAUCAUUCCGCGGUAUUUUAUAUCCACAAAUUAAUAUUCAGAUAACUCAUGUAGAUGGAAGGACUAAUUUAAAAUUUGAAUUCUUCAUCUGUCCUCUUCUUACCUCUCUUCGCCCUUUGGCCCAUUCGCAGCUAUAUGGCCUCAACAAGCGAGCGCAGCUAUUGGCUUAAAACCAACCCCCUUUUUGAUAUGGAUCAAAUAGUAUUAUCUUCGUAGGUGGAUUUCGGGACUCUGAAGUGAGUGUAACUUUCUGAGUGCGCGAUAACCAAGUCGAAGUUAGAAGAUACAAGUUUAGUAGCUACGAUUUAAUUAACGCCAGAGGGCUGCAUACAAGAAACAUUAUAACACACAAAAAAAACAAACAGAAAUGGCUUCC